GGAGGGGUGGGGCAGAAGAAAGGGGCCGUGUGCGCCCACAUACUGGAGGAUCAACAUUAUCAUGGCAACCCUGAGGAGGCUGUGAGAGUCUCUGGGGUCCUUGCCGGCCUGCAGAAAAUCAAGCUUUGAGCGGGAAGCUUCGAGGAGACACAGUGUCACAAUUACAAGGUUCCAGCAUUUGGAGGCAAACAUGAAGCUCCAUCCUCUCCAAUUCUGGGGCAACCGUGUGGAGAUGAUCAAAAUGCUUCACCUUCAAAACUUUCAAAGGAAGAGUUAAUACAGAGUAUGGAUCGUGUAGAUCGAGAAAUUGCAAAAGUAGAACAGCAGAUCCUUAAACUGAAAAAGAAACAAGUAAAAGUCUUUGCCUAAUAUAUUCUAAGAA
rnacentral:lncRNA from 1 species